rnacentral:rRNA from 1 species
UACGUAGGUGGCAAGCGUUGUCCGGAACUACUGGGUGUAAAGGGAGCGCAGGCGGGAAGCCAAGUCAGCUGUGAAAACUACGGGCUUAACUUGUAGACUGCAGUUGAAACUGGUUUUCUUGAGUGAAGUAGAGGUUGGCGGAAUUCCGAGUGUAGCGGUGAAAUGCGUAGAUAUUCGGAGGAACACCGGUGGCGAAGGCGGCCAACUGGGCUUUAACUGACGCUGAGGCUCGAAAGUGUGGGGAGCAAACAGG